rnacentral:lncRNA from 1 species
CUUUCCUCCCACUCUGCCUCUCUCUCCCCCUCCCUCUUCCUCUCCUUUUCCCCUUGCCUUUCCUCCCCCUUCCUCUCCCCCUUCCUCUCUCCCUUCCCUUCCAUGAGACCCUCCCCAACCCAUCUCUGCAUCUCCCAGCUCCUCCCACUCCUGCUCCUCCCUCGCCCUGCCCCCCUCCACCUAUCCCAACUCCACUCAUCCGCAGCCCAAACACUGAUCUGUUUUAGUUUGCAUUUUCUAGAGUCGUCCAUAAAUGGAAUCAUCCCAUAUGUACUUGAUUUUGUCUGGCUUCUUUCACUCAACAUAGUUACUUUGACAUGCCUGCGUGUUUUUGCAUGGAACAAUCAUUCAUUGCUUCCUGAGCAGUAUUCCAUUUAUGGAUAUACCACCGUGUGUUUAGUCAGCACUUGAUUUAGCCUGCUUUCAAUUUUUCCUGAUUAGAACUACAGCUGCUAGGAACAUCCCUGUGCAAAUCUUUGUACAGACAUAUACGGUUUUUCCUCUCUGGGGUAAAUACCUGGAAGUGGAAUGCCCAGGUCGUAAGCCUAACCUGAACUUAAGCCGGCAGAUGAGGAUAAGGCUCCCCAGCCUCCCGGAACAAGCAGACAGUUAUUAAUGGAAAUGUUCCACCAGUUCAGCUUUUGGUUAUAGAAAAAUAUAUCAUUACUACUUUUUAGAAACCUCAGAAAUAGACGACUACUACUUCUUAAAAAAAAGGGAGUUUUUGGAAAACUAAAGGAGUUCGCAGGGUCAUACAUCAUCUUUUUCUUUCAUCUUGAAAACUAAGAAACGAAGAAAAAUUGGAUCAUGGAAAUACAGGAAUUUACAUCAGGUCUGUGCUGGGAGCCUUCCUGGGUGAUCCUGUGUUUCCAUCAUUAAUCACUUUGAACACUGCAUUCUCAUUUGGCAGAAUGCUGAAGCCUUACUGGUCUGAGGUGUCAGAGGUCAGAGCCUGAGACUGACAGAGGAGCCACAGGUGACCAGCAAACUGCAGAAGCUCUGGGGAGAACUCCAUGGAGUCAGGCUAAAAACAGCAGCAACCAGAAACUGUAAGAACUGAGCAGAGAUACCAGCUGCACCACUAGAGAGACAAAGUGUGUAGCUCACUGCCUAGUACAGCAAAAUAGCCACAAUCCUCAGAAGGACACAACAGAAUCUGGAAUCACUAGAAAGUAUUAUCUACAAUGCUCAUUCUUAACCAUGCAAAGAAGAAACAGGAAAGUGUGAUUCAAAGUCAGAAAAAAGUCAGUCAAUAGAAAUCUACUCUGUUAGGGACAGGUGUUGGUGAAUUAAGUAAUUAGAGACUCUAAAGCAGCUAUGAUAAAUAUGUUCACAGAGGAAAGCUCAAUAGAGAAAUGAAACUUCAAACAUGGAAAUUUAAGACUUGAAAAGUACAAAAACUAGAAAGAAAAAUUUACUAGGUGGACCAAACGGCAGAUUAGAGAUGCCAAAAUUGCAUAAAUUGAACAGAGAUCAAAAGACGUUAUUUAAUCUAAAAAAUUGAAGAAAAAUGAGCAGAGCCUUAGAGUCCUGUAAAAUAUCAAGCAAGAUAACAUAUAUGUAAUUGGGUUCCGGAGGGAGAGAAGGAAUGGAAAAAAAUAUUUGCAUAAAUAAUGACUGAAAAAUUCCAUGAUUGGCAGAAAACACUAAUUUACAGAUCUAAGAAGGUCAAGCACCCCAAGCAGGAUAUAUAAUUAUAUCACUUCCAUGCAGAAGAGAAAUGCAGAAAGCCAAAGAUAAAGAGCAAAGUGUUGAAAGCAGCCAAAGAAAAGUGACACAUCACGUACAGGAAAAUAGUUCAGCUCAAUGGCUGAAUUUUCAUCAGAAAUACUGGCAUUCAGAAGAAAUUUAAAAAUGCUGAAAACAAAACUAGCAGCCAAGAAUUUUGUAUCAAGCAAAAAUGUCUUUUCAAAAUUAAAGGCAAAAGGAAGCAACUUCCAGAUAAAUUUAAAAGACAGAAUUUAUGCCAUUAUAUUUACACUGUAAGAAAUGCUAAAUGAGGUUCUUCAGGUUGAAGGGAAAUGACCCUGAUGACAACAUGGAUCUACAGGAAAAAAUGAAAAGCAUCAGAAAUCAUACAUAUGUGAGUAAAUAUAAAAUACUAAAUAUUGAUAGAUGAAUAUAUGGAUAGGUACUACACAAACACAUAUGAACAUAUAAUUCUUAAUAUCUUAACACAUGAUAUAGGACUCUUCAAAACAAAAAAUUAUUACAUUGUAUUGUUGGGUUUGUAAUGGACACAGAUAUAAAAUAUGUAACAAUAUUAAGAGUAGGAAAAGUAGAGAUACAUUGUUAAAAGGUUCUAGUAUUUUACUUGAAGUAGUUCAAUAUUAACUCUAGACUAUUAUAAGUUAAAGUUAAGUUGCGUAUUGUAAUCACUACAGCAACCACUAAAAAUAGAACAAAGAAAUACGGCAAAAAAGCCAAGAGACGAAUUAAAAUGUAACACUAAAGAAAAAAAAAAAACACUACGGGGGGCCGGGUGCAGUGGCUCAUGCCUGUAGUCCCAGCACUUUGGGAAGCCAAGGCAGGAGGAUCACCUGAGGUCAGGAGUUCGAGACUAGCCUGGCCAACAUGGUGAAACCCCUCCCCCCAACCAAAAAUACAAAAAUUAGCUGGAUGUGGUGGCACGUGCCUGUAAUCCCAGCUAGUUGGGAGGCUGAGUAGGAAAAUCACUUGAACCCAGGAGGCAGAAAUUGCAGUGAGCAGAGAUCGUGCCACUGCUCUCCAGCCUGGGUGACAGAGCAAGGCUCCAUCUCAAAAAAAAAAAAAAAAAUUAACACUACAAAAGGCAGGAAGAGAGGAACUGUGGAAUAAAACAGAUCAGACAAAUAUAAAUGGGAAGCUUAACUAUAACCAAAUCAAUAAUCAUAUGAUAAUUGAAAACUAAUCAAAAGGUAAUUAAGUGGAAACUGACAUAUUAAUAUGUGUUCAGUCCAUAUACAUAUAUUAUCUCUUUAGUUCCUUUUAAAAAGUGUUUUAUAUUUUUCAGUGUAUAGAUUUUGCAAAAAGUUUGGUAAAUUUAUCCCCAUGUAGUUCAUAUUUUAGGAAGGUAUUAUAAGUUCAAUUGUACUUUUGCUGUUUUGUUCAUUGCUCACAUAUAGAAAUAUGAUAAAUUUUUAUGUAUUGAACUUUCAUCCUUUGACCUCGAUAGAUCUAUUUAUUAGUUCUAGUAAGUUUCUGUAGUCUUCUUAAGAUUUUCUGUAUAAAUGGUCAUGCAAUCUGAAUAAAUACAGUUUUACGGCUUCCU